GUUGAAAUUUUAUGAACUCUAGGAACAGGGUUGGUCUCCCGGCGUGUCGUCGCCUCCACUGGGUGCUGGCUCCGCGCGGACUCGCAACAACUAGCUGAGUGCUUGUACGAUAAUUAUGUCAGUGCGUUACCGGUUAAAGUGUGUAGCAUUUCCUCUGUUCCUUAACAGCGCAUCUAUCUAAAUGUAUCGUACCUGAACGGUACUUUCUAGCAUAUUUACGCGGUGGUACAAGCAAAGCACUAGCCAAUGCCGAUGCACAUACGGUGGGUGACCGCAAGCUGCGAACUUCAUCUGGCGUUUUGUCUGCUUUUUCCAAAAGUUCGUGGCAGCUCUGCACUCCAGUCGACGGGUAUGUACGCCCCUCAGAAUCGUACUGCUUCUAUUUUUCUCGUGUCCACGUGAGCCUAUCUGUUGUUACUUGUGCUGGCGAGUCGCCGACGGGACAUCGGAGUGCCGUCUCGUUAUUCCAUCGGCGAGAUGAACACUUGAGGGAAGCGACACACGGGAAGCGGGAAACUGGGUCCGGCGCCAUUCUUUUGCGGGUUUAGGCAGGGAAUAGGUGAGAUCGGAGGCGCCCCGCCAAAAGCGAGCGCACUCUGUGCAUACCCCGUGGCAUGCGGAUGGGCAGAGGCGGAUCUAGACGCCAUAUGUGUCUCACGUAAACAAAGCGC
rnacentral:lncRNA from 1 species